GACGAACGCUGGCGGCGUGCUUAACACAUGCAAGUCGAACGGAAAGGCCCUGCUUUUGUGGGGUGCUCGAGUGGCGAACGGGUGAGUAACACGUGAGUAACCUGCCCUUGACUUUGGGAUAACUUCAGGAAACUGGGGCUAAUACCGGAUAGGAGCUCCUGCUGCAUGGUGGGGGUUGGAAAGUUUCGGCGGUUGGGGAUGGACUCGCGGCUUAUCAGCUUGUUGGUGGGAUAGUGGCCUACCAAGGCUUUGACGGGUAGCCGGCCUGAGAGGGUGACCGGCCACAUUGGGACUGAGAUACGGCCCAGACUCCUACGGGAGGCAGCAGUGGGGAAUAUUGCACAAUGGGCGGAAGCCUGAUGCAGCAACGCCGCGUGCGGGAUGACGGCCUUCGGGUUGUAAACCGCUUUCGCCUGUGACGAAGCGUGAGUGACGGUAAUGGGUAAAGAAGCACCGGCUAACUACGUG
rnacentral:rRNA from 1 species